UUUUAAACCCUAUUGACAGUCAGAAGGCAAAGGAACAGGAAGAAAUUUUAAGUGGAAAACAUAAAUUGAAGAAAAGCUCCUGUUAGUUAAACAAAACUCCUGCCCUAGAAAUGUGAUAUUUACAUUUUAUUUUUCUUUUGUCAGACGAAAUAAUAAAUGAAUUACAUAAUUGAGGAAUAUUUCCCUCUCUUCACAUCUUAAACCAUCCCAACUUCGCUGGUAUUCAAACUUGUAGAUUGUUGUCUUCAAGAAGUAAUCCAAGCUGAUGGAAUUGCUAAUGUGAUUUUUUAGAGUACACGUUCAUAAAUAAGAUUAUAUGCCCUAAGUAACCCUUUGGAAUUGAUUUUAUUUUGAAGCUAUUCCUAAAUGGUAUGCUUCCAAAUUAAAACCAUCAAUACACAUUAUUUACAAUUGUGUUUCCUCUGCUUAGUUGGAUCAAGUUCUCCAAUAGUGUUCCAUCAACUGCACAUAUUUUGCAACCGUACAUUUCCCAGGAAUUUGUAAUCAAACACUAGCAUACACAAUAUUCUUUCCAUAUUUCCUGAACUUAUUACAUGUUAAGAAGGUUUUCAUACCAAGUCCGAUGAACACUACAGGAAACAGUUGCCAUUACAAUCAGAACUUCGGCAGCCUCCAUUACCCUACCUGCCUGCAAGGAGUGCUAGUCCCACUCGUUGAAGAGCUGCCACUGCCAAUUCCCUUCCUUUCCUCCAAAACAACAACUCUCAAAUCUUGAGAAAUACAGCGAGAAACUCUUGCAAAUAUAGGAUCCCCAGCUUGCAAGCUCUUUCCCAACAUGUUUUCCGUAAGCGUCUCCUUUGCUUGGAGCUUUUCAGCACCAAACACAAGGCCAUUGCCUUUUAGUAACCCGCUAAUUUUAGCAACAAUCUCUGAUAUACCUACAUCUUCAACACUGUCUAACAGCUCAUAGAGUUGCUUCAUGCACUCAGAUACUAUAUUUUCCAUGUCUAGAGAAUUGGUCACUAGCUUCUCGGUCGGAAGUGUUUGGCGGAGGAUCAACAAACUGGAAAUAAAACAUUCAGUCACAAUUGUUUUCAUCACACAAUUGCAGAUAACAGCAAGACAACUCUUUUUCUUUUUGUGUGUUUUGGAUUGAAAAAAAAACAGCUCUACCAGUAUUUUUUAUCAACACCUCUACCAGUAUUUUUUUAUCAACACCUCUACCAGAAAAAAAAAAAAGAUUGUUUUCUAUUUUUAUUUGACAAUUCCACAAAUGAAACUGAAAAAAAAGUAAGAUUGAUUAUUUAUCUGCAAAAGUCCGGCAACACAUGUAAAAGCUAGAAGCAUCACCAUUGUGUAUAUUCUACAGUUCAACUAGCUGGUAGUGUUACCUAAGUUUAUGUGGGCACACCACUAAGAUAAUUAAGGUGCUAUUUACAGCAUACAGGCAUCUUGAUUUGGUUAAAUCUUGAGUUGAGGAAAUAAAAAGCUGCCAUAAAACUGCAAGUGAAGCAUUAAGAGUGUAAAAGAUAUAGCAUGGAAUGAAUUUGAUUGAAAAAAGAAACCAUUCAGAACAACUAUGACUAAACACAGGAAACCCCAAUCAGUGAAGCAGGUUUUCAAGUUUGAGUCAUAAUGCAACCACAGAUAUAGAUGCAGGCGCAACCUUCAAAUACAUGAAACAUGUAUACAUCAAAGGCUUAAAAUUGACAACAGUUACAAUUACAAACAGUAAAAGGAGAGAAGGGGGAGGGAGAGGGAAAGGAAGAAAGGAGGGUGGUGGGGUGUAGGGGGUGGGAAGGAGAAGGGGAGAGGAGAGAGGAAAUUUGUUGCUUGGUUCAAAGAUGAUUACUGCACAACACAUAAUAAUUUUUUAUUGAGCUCUAUGACUUAAAUUAUAUCUUUCAUAUUUUGUGAAUUCAAAGUUUGAAAUUUAUAUACGUACAAUAUUUCUCAGCAAAUCUUGCACAGGCCGGACGAUACAGCUAUGCAUCACACUAUGAAAUUAAUUUUUCUUGUCCCAUGGCUAAAGCACCAAGAACUGCAACUUCAGGAGGUUAGAUGGAAAAGACUUGAGACCAGAAACACACCUGAAUCUCCUGUAGGACUUGCCACAGACCUUUAAUCACUACAAAUGAAAUUGAGGCAUUUGAUUUAACUCCAACUUUAGAAAUCUCUCUCAGUUCUUCGAGUAAUUUAUGGUGAGAGCUCUUCAUUUCUUCAUCAUUUGCUGGGGCAGAAAGUUUCUCCAAAGUGGCUAAUGCAAACUCUAGGAUCUUCCCUAGAUAAUCCAUAUCUAAAGUUCCUGAUCUCAGCACCUUUAAGUGAAGGAAAGUUUGACAAGGUAUAAUAUUAAUAUUUCAGUAAAUAAUAACUUAUGGAUGCAGUAAGCAAGAGCUGUAGAAUUUAACCACCUGUGAGAGAAUAUCAACAUCAAUAGUCUCAACAAUCUCCUGUCUCCAAGUCUGAGGAGACAUCUCACAUAGCUCAUCCCUAACUUCCUGAAUGAGUUUAAGAAUCCAACUAAAAUCAGGCUCAUCCUGUUUGACAGACUCCAUAAUACUAUCCCAAAAAGCCUUUUCAAUUGUCUCUCACUUUUGCCUCCAGGAUAAUGAAGUCAAGGCUCAUGUGAGAGAAUUUUUAUUGUGUCCAAUACUAGCAAGUCCUGGCCCUUUAAAUAAUUGGUAACAAACAAAGCAUAAUUAAAUAACACAAGAAACGAAUCUUGUUAGUAUUUGUAACCUGAUCCCACAGUCUAGCAAAUUACUAAAUGACUAACCAAGAGACAAGUUCUAUUUUUUGAAGAUGUAGAGCACUGUUAAAACAAGCAAGUACCUUGAGGAUUUGCAUCUCUAUCCCACAUGCUAGUAGAUCAAUAAAUGAUAAUCGUAAUUCUCAAUAAACAUAGAAAUCAUUUAAAUUGGCAUACAAACCUGAACAUUGUUCUGAUCUUUAUUGGCGGCAUUAAGAGUAUCAGCUAAUCCAUGGUGAUGUUCAUGGAUAAUUUCAUUUACAAGUAAUUCAUUCUCACUAGCCAACAGUGGAUCAGAGCGCUGAUGGUCAUCGAUGAUCCUUUUGGGUGGAGAAGAACUUGUUUCUUCACCUGGAGAAGAAUCAGCUAUCUCAUAGGUGGAGUGAAUUAUGGCAUUGCCGCUAGACCCUUGACAACCUUCAGCCAAAUAACUUGUCCCAACAGAGAUGGGAAAUGAAGACCCCUCCAAUGAAUGAGGUGGACAUGAUGAUGAAAUCUGACCAGUAGAUGAUUUCAAUGGACCCACAGAUUUCUUGUCUCCAAUAAAUUUCGACCGCAUUUCAGUAAGAGCACUUUCCAUAUGUUUAAAUCCGGCAUUACCGCUUAGAAGCUGCAAUUUUCCCCUUAUAAGUUUCUGCUCGUCCAAAACCUGCUUUUUGGUAGCCUCCAUAUCAUCAGCAAGAGUUUCAUCAUCUCCUAAAGUCAGCUUGCUUUGCAUCAUAAAGAAUUCAAGUUGGCAUGCAGCUCUCACCAAAUCCCCCUCUAGCAGUUUAGCAUCCUUUAACUUCCAUGUCACAAAGUGAUGCAGGUAAUGGCACCAUGCUUUAUCACAAGCUUCCAGUUGAAAUCUGAAGGUCUUCUGACUUGGAAUUGCAGAGGCUAUUUCCUCUUGUGAAAUUUGAAUAGGGCCAUCUAUUAUAAUCUUGACCAAAAACUCAAACUCUCGAACGAAACUAACUGCAGAUUCAGCUAGAGUGAUCUCACCCUCGCCUUGUCCAUUGAGAACUGCAUCUGGGUGUCCUAUUAUCAUGUAUGCACACAGCACAACUUUGAUAAUUUUACUGGCAUCUGAGCUUCCUCUUUAACAGACUUGGUUGGUUUGGCUCCUCUUUGGGCAGUAUUGCUAGAAUUGCCUGUAUAAUUUGGGAAAGCAACAAACCUAAGAAGGUGAUCAAUGUUGGCUAGACUAGAUUGACAACCUCUGACUGCCCAUGAAAAUCUGAGGCGACUCUCCAGACGGUCAACUAAAGCUUUCACCGUAUUAAUGGUUGUUGUUGACUUGAUAUGAAGAGCAAGCUGCUCAAAUGGCAUUGACUUGACAGAACUCCCAUGGAUUUUCAAGUCAUCAUAAUUUUUUGCCAAGUCUAAGGUAGUUCUCCUAGACCUAAGGAACUGCCUCCAGCACCUUGCUAAUUUUCUGGAAAGAAGAUCAGCCUGCUUGUGCAUUCGAUUCCAAUUCACUCGAACAGAAUUUUGUUGCCUUCCUCUCUGCCUCAAAUAUUCUGCUCUUUGCCUUUUUGCCCUUUGCAACCGAUUUUCCAAAUGGUCCCUCAUUCUCCGUCUCUCAAUCUCGCGUUGGUGAGAGACCGAUUUAGCCACUCGCCUUACUUGCAACACCCUAGCACAUGCCCUCUUCUUUUCUGCUUCCAGCAAUCCCAUUCUCUUCCUCUCAGCAGCUGUACGCUUUUGGUGAAUUGCAGCACGCACACGCUCCUUGUAUUUGCUUUCCCGAGCCAUUCGCCGCAAUAUUGAUUGGGACAUUCUCUCCUUUUGGCUGGCCCUUCUUUGCCUAUUAGCCUUCAGUAUAAGCAUUCUAUUUGCUUCUGCUUGCUGAACCCGCAAUUCUACUUUCAUACCAAGCCUCUCUCUUUCUCUUGCAAAUCGCAUUUCUGCCCCACUUUUUGCUGCCUGACGCAACUCAUCCAGCCUAGCAAGGCGCAUCUGGGCCUUUGCCAGAAUGUCCAACCUUUUCUGCUCUGCAGCUUGAAGUUUGGCUUCAAGACGUUGGCCAAGGUCUUCGUCAUGAGAUGAAGACCGUGAUGGGCUUCUAGGCUUUGGUCUUGCCUUGCUUGAUAACUUCUCAUAGAAUUGCUUCGCUCAAAGAAGUAACAGAACACCAUCAUUUAAAAUAAUCAGAUGGAAUGAUAGGGAAAUCAAUAUCGACAAAAACCAAACAUAUUACGUAAAACAGUAAUAAUGAAUAAGAACAGUAAUUCAAAUAACAGUGAGUAAUUAGAUUUUAUUUCCUUGAAGAAAUAUUCUCAACAGAACUUCAAUAAAAACAAAACAGCAAAAUAAAGUUACCAUCAUAUUAGAGGAGGGGAAAAAACGAAAAAGAGCACAUGAAAGAGUCGUUAAUCAAAACCAAUCAAUCAUGAGUUUUUAUUCUUCUUUUUUCUUUUCUUGUUUAUACAUGUGGAAAAGAAAACUAAAAAAGUGAAAAACAAAAAUUCAAACAGGAGCAAUACUCAAUUUCCCACCCCAUUUACCUAACACCAGGAGUAUUUUUUAAAUUUAAAGUAAAGAAUAAAAAAAAUUCCAAAAAAAGGGAAGGAAAAGAAAAGAGAAGCAGAUAGGCUCCUAAGGAUCUUUCCAUUGGAAUUAAUCCCAAAUGGGAAAUUUUAAAAUUUUGACGAAUAAAGUAUUUAACUUCUCAUAAUCCAAAACUAAUCGAGAUCAAAACUCUCUCGAGUUCAUGGAAAGAGAGUCAAACAGAACUUAAAGUGAAAAGAAAAAUUAGAACGUAAGGGAAGAUCUAAUGUUAACUUUUUGGAUUCCCAGAAAUUAACAGAACCAAAGAGAAAAUGCUACAUUUUCAUCAGAAAUGACCCGGAAAAGCAAAAAUAAUUCCCUAAUGCCAAUAGAAAUACAAAAGAAGAGGGAGAUAGCUUCCAAAAAAGUUGAUCACCCAAAAAAAUUAAGUAAAAUCAUUUGAUCACGGGAAAAAAUUAAGUAAAGAUUAUUCCUUUUUGCUUAAGAAUUCUGAGGGUUUUAUUUAAAAAAAAAUACUGAAUUAGUUGCUCAAUUAAGUAAAAUAUUGAAUUUUUUUUUAAUUGUACUCUUUCCCAGAAUUUGUGAACAAGCAACCGAACUUACUUGAAAUCCUCACAGAAUUAAUUACAAAAAUUAAAAUUUAAAAGACAAAAACUAAAAGAAAAUUUUUCUUAAUUAACCUGUCUGCGAAGAUCCGCAUGUCGAAGUUUAGCUUCAAUUUCUUCAACAGUACAUGGAGUCCUAGCCUCCAACAGUCUUUUCCGAAGCCUUCUAGGUAUUCUAGGCGGAGAACUAAACGACAGCGCAUCACUUAUCGGAAAAUCAAGCGCCACCGCAACCCUCUCCGUCUCCGGCGAAGACGACUCAACUCCAGUAGCCAUAAAUCAAAUUGAAAACAAUCACGCUCUCUCUACACGCGCAUAUACAGAUGAACAAAAACAGCGAAAUUUCUGGAAAUUUUCUUUAAUUUAGAAUGAAAGCAAGAAACGAAGAGACGAAGAGAGAGCGAUCGUUUAUAUAUAUAUAAAUUAUAAUGCUGCUAAGAAGAGAAAGGUCGCGUCGACUCAGCUUUUCCUUUUCUUCUUCUUGUUUGCAAAGCUUCGUGGGAGAGAAAAGGGGUUUGGUUUGGUUUGAUUUUAAGGGUAGGCAUUUCAGGUUCGGUUUUG
rnacentral:misc_RNA from 1 species